CCUAAAUCUAGAUAUCAAUUCUAAGCAAGUUCUCUUCAAAGAUAAAAGCUCAUUUACUCUCAUGAUCAAACAUCAAAUUCCUUUGGUUUGUGUCAAUCAAGCAAUCAAUAAGGAUAGAUCAUUUAACUUUCCUAACUCCCCUAACAUCAAAUCCUUUUGGUAGGGUAACCUAAGAGCUUGAUGAGUUGGCUCAGACAUUUU
rnacentral:lncRNA from 1 species